rnacentral:rRNA from 1 species
CCGGCGCACGGGUGAGUAACGCGUAUGCAACUUACCUAUCAGAGGGGGAUAACCCGGCGAAAGUCGGACUAAUACCGCAUGAAGCAGGGGCCCCGCAUGGGGAUAUUUGCUAAAGAUUCAUCGCUGAUAGAUAGGCAUGCGUUCCAUUAGGCAGUUGGCGGGGUAACGGCCCACCAAACCGACGAUGGAUAGGGGUUCUGAGAGGAAGGUCCCCCACAUUGGAACUGAGACACGGUCCAA